GGAAGCGUGCCUGAAAGAAAAGGACCUCCUUGAUAGGGAGACCCACAGGGGCUCAAACCCCCUCGCCUCCU
rnacentral:tRNA from 1 species